CCUGCAGCUCUGCUCAUGCCCCCCGCCCGUGCCGCCCAAUUCCAAACCUUGGCUGCUCCCCACCGCUCCGCGCACGUCUCUCUGCGCCGCCGGUCCCCGGCUGCGCCCCCCUCUGCCGAGGAAGAGCACGGGCAUGGCGGACGAGGCGCAUCUUAGGUCUGCCGUGCCAGGCCCUUGGGCGGCGGAUUACCGGGAGAAGGCCGUCCACUACUGCACUACACCAUCAAUAUCGGUGAUUCGGUGGAGUCCCUUUAUGUCUUCUGUGCGUACACUCUUCCUGGUCCUAGCUUAGGAACUAGGAGCCGAGCUUAUGCCAUGGACCUUCUUCAGCUAACCCACCACGAUUAUACAUUUUACUUGAUGAUUCUUCUCACAGGUGUGAGAUUUUUUCCCCCCUGAACGGUCACAAGCAACUAGUCAUCAGUAAUCGAACGC
rnacentral:lncRNA from 7 species